GCAUAUCAAUAAGCGGAGGAAAAGAAACCAACCGGGAUUGCCUUAGUAACGGCGAGUGAAGCGGCAAAAGCUCAAAUUUGAAAUCUGGUACCUUCGGUACCCGAGUUGUAAUUUGGAGAGGGCAACUUUGGGGCCGUUCCUUGUCUAUGUUCCUUGGAACAGGACGUCAUAGAGGGUGAGAAUCCCGUGUGGCGAGGAGUGCGGUUCUUUGUAAAGUGCCUUCGAAGAGUCGAGUUGUUUGGGAAUGCAGCUCUAAGUGGGUGGUAAAUUCCAUCUAAAGCUAAAUAUUGGCGAGAGACCGAUAGCGAACAAGUACAGUGAUGGAAAGAUGAAAAGAACUUUGAAAAGAGAGUGAAAAAGUACGUGAAAUUGUUGAAAGGGAAGGGCAUUUGAUCAGACAUGGUGUUUUGUGCCCUCUGCUCCUUGUGGGUAGGGGAAUCUCGCAUUUCACUGGGCCAGCAUCAGUUUUGGUGGCAGGAUAAAUCCAUAGGAAUGUAGCUUGCCUCGGUAAGUAUUAUAGCCUGUGGGAAUACUGCCAGCUGGGACUGAGGACUGCGACGUAAGUCAAGGAUGCUGGCAUAAUGGUUAUAUGCCGCCCGUCUUGAAACACGGACC
rnacentral:rRNA from 1 species